AUUUUUCGCCUUGCCCGCUCGGCUGCUGCCUGUUCGUUUCUCGCGUGCGUUGAUGUCCCCAUUCAAUGGUUCACCCCCGAAAAUUAAGUUGAGUGCGCGACAGUGAGCCCGCUGAGCUUGGCGACAUCAACGGCUGGCCUGAAAAUGGCAACGAGCCUGUGUAGAAGCAAGACGGAGCGCAUUCAGCCUCUAGCUUCAGCUGGACGCAACAUCUCCUUCGAAACGGAUGGGCUUCCAAGUGACGAUGAGACUGUAGUGUACUGCAUGGACUGUUCAAGUGGUGCAGCUUUCAGUCCUUGGUCAGAGCAGACUGCACCGACUGCCACUUCCUCAUGGGAUGAAGACUUCAACACUAGUGCUACAGCCCAAGUUCAACAAACCCUUGAAGCCAUUGACACUUACUUGUAUGAAGAAAAAGAUAAUGAACCCGGAGAUGCUGACUUGAAUGAUGAACUCAAGCUUGAGUGUGAACGGUGGAAGCAACAGUUCCCACACCUUCGUGUAAUUGGCAAGAAGCUUGCCUCUCCAACGGCAACUGUUGCUAAAAGUAUCAUUAUGAAUGGUGGUUCUACCUCAGCAGAAAGCAAGUGUGACUCGGAGACAAGCUGGUCGGCAGAGGACGAGGUGCUAAAGAAAAAUGUUAUAGAUCAUCUAUGUGCCAUUUUUUGGCCUGAGGUUCAGCUUUGGCUAGACAUGUCUCAUCAGCGUCUUGACUUUGACCACUUGAAUCUAAGGCACUCGCACUGGGACCUAGACAAGGAGGUACACAACUGCCAGCAAAACUUGGAAGGAGUGUUGACCGUGACACCGAAGCUCCUAAGUGAUCGUUUCUCAGAAAGAGCCUGCUCUUCCACAACAUUUUCGUCAAGAUCAAGCACUGCACAAUCCAUGCUUGGGCAGGGCUCCAGACAACAGUGGUCAUGCGAUAAACAGCAGUGGCAGCAUCAACCACCAGCGGCUUCCAGAUGCACUUCAAGGCCGCGGCCCUUGCUGCCGCCGUUAAGCUCUGGCAGUAAUGGCAGUAGCUCCAGCAAAGUGCCUAUGUCUUCUCUGUCCAGCAGGUCUGGAAGGACAAGUAGUGGAUCUUCGACAUCCAAACUGCCGCCUAUUGACUCUGCCUCUCUUCAGUCUAUGUACGUAGAAGGACAUCGUAUCAAUGUGUCGGAGCGACCCCUGUCCCGAAGUGUGAAUAGCUGUUGCCGCAGGCCCAGGGCAGAAAAAUGAUGUCCACAGUGACGUGCUGCACAGUCAUCUGCAGCUACUACAUUUGGCUGAUGUCACCUGCCAUUCAUUGUUCUUGAUACCACCACAAGAUCGCACCACCUCUGAUUGCCAUGUCACUUUUGAUCCAAAGCCACAUUGCACUAGGCACACGUUUCAAGCUGCCAAAUUACGGCUGUAAAUGCGAAGUCAACAUAUUCAUUCCCAGCGGUGGACUUUUCUUGGACCAGCCCGGCCUUAUCUGUCGGUAGCUCCGCGGCACGGUGCCGCUGUCAGUUGUUGGAGAUGGCAGUUGUGCUUCACAUGUCCAUGUCGUACGAGCAACAAAGUGCGAUUCGUUUUCUAUGGAACAAGGGACGAAUGCCCAUUGAAAUCCGCAGGAAAAUGCAGCCCACGUAUGGGGAAAGGUGUCUCGCUUUGAGCAGUGUAAGGUGUUGGUGUUGUAAGUUCGCAAAAGGCCGUGAAGGCUUGCAUGACAAUGGGCGGUGGUUUCACAGUCAGCCGGACGAAUUCUGCCACAGGGGCAUCUCAAAUUUAGUGCUGCGAUGGGACAAAUCUCUGAACCAGUGUGGGGACUAUGUGUAAAAAUAGUGUAAGGUACGUAGAAUAUUAUGUAUAUUUGUAAUUACCUGUAUGUACCUUAUAUUGGCUAAUGAAAAAUAGGGGCACAGACUUUCUGGUUCACCCUCGUAUCGUCUCUCAUGUCAACAUUUAUGUGUGAUAAUAUAAGCUUAUUAAUAGCUGUUACCAAAGAAGGUUGGUGAUGUUAGCAUUCAAGUGGUGUAUAGUAUACUAAAAUGUUGUGAAUAAUGUAUUUCUUUUUACAAUUAUCAUACUUUCCUUACUUAUCGCUGUACUUCAUUGUUAAGGUACUAUUGCACUCGGUAUGAGCUACAAUACAAAAGUGCGUGGCAAAGUGCUCGUGCAUUGUAGCUCAUACUGAGCGUGAUAGUAUGUCACCAUCUUUGAAAAUGCAUUUGCUUAGGAAAAAGUUGAUUUUCUAUUUUUGGGGCAUUUUAAGUACCCCCUGACAUUAAGAAAAUGUGGUGCACAAACAAUUAUGUUCUUACCUUAUUCUGUUCAAGUUAUAUGCAUUUUUCAAACAGUUGGCAGAUGUUUGGUUAAUAAAACUUUGUUUUAUUUCUCAAAACCAAAUUUUUUGUAAUUUAUUGUUAUGCGAACAGUGACAACUUGAUAUAUUAUGAACACUUUCCGAUAAUACUUGCCCACCGUGGUGGCUUAGUGGUUAUAGUGUUGCUCUGCUAAGCACAAGGUCGUGGGAUCAAAUCCUGGCUGUGAUGGCCACACUUCGAUGGGGGCGAAAUGCGAAAACACCCUGUACUGUGCAUUGGAUGCACAUUAAAGAACCCCAGGUGGUCAAAAUUAAUCCCCCUUGUGGAAACUUUCGCUCUGGAGGCAUCCCUUGUUCGUUUAUCCAUACAAGUGUCCAUCUUCCUGUGUACCUCUCUUUUCUUUAAACAUAUAGUAAGAAGUUUAAAAUCAACAUUUUUCUGAAAGGUGGUGGCAUACCUAGGCUAUAUUAUCAUGGACAAAUGAAACAUGGAUGGGAUCAGUAAGGUUUUUAACGUAACAGCCCGAACCCUUUCUCAACUGCUGACAGGUAUAUAUAUAUAUAUAUGUCUUGAGUUUUGUAGCAAUAUAGCCAACGAUGAAUAUAGUUGUCUUGAUGCCAUGUUUCUGGAAGCCUCAGAGAAAUUUGGUACACUUUUUGUCAUUUCGUUCUUUGUGGAAAGGGUUAAUAUUCACAUGAUUUGUUUUUGCUUAGAGUUGCCAUUGUCUUUAUUGAACACCAGAAGUACAGAGGUGCUGUGUUAUCUGAUCUCCCUGAAUUAUACACUCCUCACUUUGCUUUCUGCAGUUUGUGUUGUUCACACUUCAUCAGUCCGUGAUAGUGUACCAUGUGUUUAUUGUCUGACCUUCUGUUUUAAACCAUUAAGAGUUGUGUAUACCUGACUAUCCUUCAAGAUGUAGUUGUCAACAAUUAUGUCUGAUCAUUUACGUGGUGUGCUUUUACUAACGUUACAAAUAAGUGUAGAAGGAAUUAUGUAUACAAUACACUCCCGUUGAAACAAGCUCCAAGGGGCUGUGAAAAUUUUUUAGUCUUAUCAGAAGUUCGUCUUAGCAGAAGUCAUUCGCAAUACUCAAAAUCUGCUUUUCCAAGGGCACCCAAAUGUCUGCGACAAGAAACAGUAAACACACACAGCAUUAAAACCAAAGUGCACAUGUAAAGAGUUAUUAGAGUUGCAUGCUACAUAGUAUUGUUUUAUGCUGCUUGUAGGCAAUUAAUUAUUGCUUGCCAGCGCUACAUAGACAUCUUGCCUAGCUUGACGAAAUAUUCUUCAGUGCCUUCAUGCUUGAAAAAAAAAAAAAAAAAUGUGCCCAAAUAUUCAAAGCCUUAUACAGCUGCAAUAUGUGUGAACACUGCUGGUUCUUGUGGCUCCUUGGCAGUGUUCUCACUAUCAUUAUCAGCCUGCAAGGGAACCGUGAAGACUUCCUAAAUUAAUGCUUCUAUACAGCCAGCCCUGAAGAUUUUCAUGCCAUUGGCAUAGACGUGUUUAUGGCCACAGAAGCGUCAUUUCCAUCUCGUGUAGCUAGAAGAAUUGUCUCCUUCAAGUCUGUCCAUUCGAGCCUCUUGCUGAGACCAGCAGUGAACAUCAGUGAUGGCUGGGGAAGUCUGGCUUAACCGAAUAUGCGGUUCCUGUAAAUCGGAUUUUUCCCUGCAUUAGUCCAUGGAAAACCAACCAAAUUUUUAGAUUGUUCCUCAUAUCCAAAAAUUUGACCUAAAUGUGUUUGUCUUAAAGGGAGUCUAUUGUAAUUAUGAAAGUUCUUUUGUGGUGUCUGGAGGUGGCCCUAUGUGAUGCCUACGCUUACUAAGUUCUUUUUUCCCUUUUAU